GACGUAGGGCGCGAGCGUUGUUCGGAAUUACUGGGCGUAAAGGGCUCGUAGGCGGCCAACUAAGUCGGACGUGAAAUCCCCAGGCUCAACCUGGGAACUGCGUCCGAUACUGGAUGGCUUGAAUCCGGGAGAGGGAUGCAGAAUUCCAGGUGUAGCGGUGAAAUGCGUAGAUAUCUGGAGGAAUACCGGUGGCGAAGGCGGCAUCCUGGACCGGCAUUGACGCUGAGGAGCGAAAGCCAGGGGAGCAAACGGG
rnacentral:rRNA from 1 species